UACAGAGGGUGCGAGCGUUAAUCGGAAUUACUGGGCGUAAAGGGCGCGUAGGUUGUUAUUUAAGUUAGAUGUGAAAUCCCAGGGCUCAACCUUGGCACUGCAUUUGAUACUGAAUGACUAGAGUACAGUAGAGGGAAGUGGAAUUUCCGGUGUAGCGGUGAAAUGCGUAGAUAUCGGAAGGAACAUCAGUGGCGAAGGCGACUUUCUGGACUGAUACUGACACUGAGGCGCGAAAGCGUGGGGAGCAAACAGG
rnacentral:rRNA from 1 species